ensembl:lncRNA
UCCAACCUCUAUAAUUCUGUGCUGCCUGAACAAGAGUCUCUAUGGCUAUCCAGAAUGUGGCUUAUCUUGACUGCCACUGUCAUCACUGCUGAAACCCACAAGCCACUCCCUCACUAUGCUCACCGGUUGAUCUCCAUAAAUGCUCAGCAAGUGUCAAUGAAUGUCAAUGUCUACUAUUUUUUCCACAUGGAGGAAUUCAGAUCCACAGCUUUGCUUCAUAUGCAUAUUCAUGUCAGACACGGUUGUGUCAGACUGUCCCUCUGCUGCCACCUGUCACAUGGCAACAACAUAGAAUGGAAUGUUCACAGAAUCACAGAAUUGUGGGUUUUGGUACGGACCUCAAGAGACCAUCGAGUCCAGUCUCCCUUCAGGUACUCUACAAUAGAUUGCAUAGGUAGGCUUCCAGACGGGUCUUGAAUUCUCCAGAGAAGACUUCAUAACCUCUCUGGGUAACCUGUUCCAGUGUUCCAUCAUCCUUACCAUAUAGAAUUUCUUAUGCAUGUUUAUAUGGAACUGUUCAAAUUUUGGGCCUCUACUGUCUACUAUCCCUUCAUCCAGUUCACAGAUGAAUAUGCUGAACAAGACCAGACCCAGCAGUGACCCCUAUGGAACACUGCUAGUUACAGGCCUCCAACCAGACAGUGCCACUGAUGACAACCCUCUGAGUUCUGUGAGUCAGCCAGUUUUCAAUCCACCUUGCCAUCUGUCCUAUACUGUGUAAGUUUCGUAACAUAUGGAUGUUGUAGCAGAUGGUGUCAAAUGCCUUGCUGAAGUCAAAGUACACAACAUCCACUGCUCUAUUUCCAUCUACCCAGCCAGUGAUGACAUCAUAGAAGGCUACCAGGUUGGUUAAGAUUUCCCCUUGGUGAAUCCAUGUUCACUACUCCUGAUAACCUUCUUUCAAUUGUUUGGUAAUGGCAUCCAGAGCAAGCUGUUUCAUCACCUUUCCAGGGAUGGAGUUGAGGCUCACUGGCCUAUAGUUUCCUGGAUCUUCUUUCUUGCCCUUUUUGAUGACUGAAGUGACGCUGGCUAUCCUCCAGUCUUCAGGCACAUUUCCCAUUUGCCAAGAACUUUCAAAGAUGAUAGAGAGCAGUUCAGCAGUCAUCUCUGCCAGUUCUCAGCACACAUAGUGUAUCCUAUUUAGGUCCAUGGAUUUGUUUGCAUUGAUUUUGGCAAGAUGCUCUCUGACUGGAUCCUCCUCGACCAAUGGGAAGUCUUCCUUUACCCAGAGUUUCUCUCACACCUCCAGGGUGUGGGAUUCCUGAGCGCUAGUCUUAGUAUUAAAGGCUGUGGCAAAAAAGGCAUUCAGAUUCUCUGCCUUCUCAGCAUCCCCUGGUAUCAAGGAACCCACCUGAUUUAGGAGGGGCCCCACAUUUUCCCUAGUUUUCCUUUUGCUGUUGAUAUACUUUAGAAAACCUAUUUCUUGUUAUCCUUAACCUCCUUCACAAGGUUUAGUUCCAAGACAGAACUAAACGUCCUUAGUCUUCUUCAUUGCAUCCCUUCAGGCCCUGGAAAUAUUCCUAUAUUCUUUCCAGGUAGACAGAUCCUUUUUCCACAUUUCAUGGACCUUCUUCUUUUCUUUUAGUUUAUCCACGAGCUCCUUGCUCAUCCAUGCAAGCCUCUUGCCACCUUUCCCUGAUUUCUUACUCCUAGGAAUGCACUGAUCUUGAGCUCGGAAGAAGUGGAAUUUAAGGGCCAACCAGUUCUCAUGGGCCUCCUUAUCUUCUAAUGCUCCAGCCCAUGGAAUACCUCCAAGUAAGUUUUUGAAGAGGUCAGUGUUGGCUCUCCUGAAGUUCGGGUUAGCAAUCCUACUUAUUGCUUUUCUUCUUCCACAAAUGAUACUGAAUGGCACCAUCUCAUGAUCUCUGCAUCCCAAGAUGCUUCCAGCCUUUACAUGCCUGACUAGCCCAUCCUUAUUAAUAAGAACAAGGUCAAAUAGCACACCCCUCCUCAUCAGCUCCUCCGGCAUCUGUAUGAGAUAGUUAUCAUCAAUGCACUGUAGAUAGCACAUAGCAAAGUUCAACCCUUGGUGGGAACAUUCAACCUCUAUCGCUAUACCACCAACAUCCAUUUCUGACAUUGAGGGCCAACAUCAUAAUGUAGGAGGCAUUACUUUUGGAGCAGCCCUCACAUAUUAUUUUGCUUUCCUUACUGACACAAAUAUGUAUUUUUAUUAGAAAAUAGUAACAGCAAAAGGGAAAUGUCAUUUGCAAUGAAUAUCCUGCUUGAAAUAAAUUAAUGGAGAGGAAGAUAGAAAAGGAGAGGAACAUUUUCCCUUACAAUGUUGAAUUAGGAGCUGUGAGUGAUUACUGUCAAGUUGUGUUCAACCUAAGUUUUCUAUUUCCAAUUCCUUUAAAUAAUGGAAAUAUAUAAAACAACACACACCCCCUAGAGUCCUUAUUAGUCUGUAGAUUGUUCUAUUUUAGUGUUGUUUUUAAAACCAACAGCUUUGAAUCAUUGUAUUAAUUCAGCAAUCUCCUAAUUUCCAAAAUGCCACAUGUGGGAAUUUCCUUCUUCAUAUAUGCUUACAGAAGUGAGCUUGAAUUAGUCUCCUGUUAAACAGCUAAUGCUUUAAAGGAUCCUUGUUUCUUGAUUAUUUUUCAGCUUUUAAUUUAAAUAAAGGCAUAAUUCCACAAA